CUCUUAUGAAUAUUAUCUGUGCAUUUAAUCUCAACAACAAAUUUUAUCCCAGGAGAAGGUUGGGCAGUCUUCCAUAUUAAAACAAAACAAAACAAACAAAAAGAAAGAAAAGCUGUGCCUUAAUCUUUUUUUCUCCCAAGUUUUAUUCAAGGGGUUGGAACAUAGGAUACUUCUGAGCCUGACCUGUCUCCCUUAUCAUUAUCACAAUGCCAUCAACUUUAAGUGAGUUUUGCACUAUCAAUAUUACCCAGAGACUCCUUUGGGGCCUUUUUCUUAAAGUAGGCAUAUUGAUAUUCAAUGGAAGAGGCCCUUUAUAUACUUUUCUUUAGCCUUCCUUGAAGAUCCCUUUGCAGAGGCUGCCUACAAAACACAGGUUGGCCUUAGUUUCUGUCUUUUUCUCUUCUGGGUGCAGUUAUGUAUUCCACCAGUCUCUUCAGGUAUUUAGCUUGAUGGGACACUUUUCCCAUCAAGUAAACAAGCAAUUCUGUUGUAGCAAGAAUUGCUUUGCCCCAGUGAUGAAUAUCCUUUAGCCAAAUGGGGUGUCCUGUCAGAUCUUAAAAGGGGAGACUAUUCCUGUCCCCAGGUCAUAAAAUGGCAUUGCUGGCACCUACUGCCACAUUAUCUGCAGCCAGCAGCCUCCACCCCCCAGGGUAAAAGAGGCUGGAAGGCAGGUUAGAGGCCAUGUUAUCUUUGGCCAUUUUUUCAUAUUCAGCUUUUCUAGAAUAAUUUUCCCCACUUUAGGGCUGGUGUUCUUGACCCACAGUGGGAUGAAUUGUGGCUCCCUGGUGCCAGGCCUAGGGGCCGUACUAGGAAUGCCAGCACUGGGUCUGAAAGAUUUAAAUCUUCUUUAACCCUUUAUUCUGGUCUCCUGCUAUUCUUGCACACCAGAGGCAGUACUUUUUGGCACCUUCAAAUGAGUCCCUGACCGUUCCAGUCACUAAUCAUGCAUCUACAUAAAUGCCUGUACAUACAGAAUCUCUUUUAUAUACUUUAUGCCUGACAGAUCAGCUUCAACUUCAAGAUUGUAUAAUAAUCCAGAAAAAUCAUUCAAAGCUCAGAUUGUGUCACAGUAAACCAUCUUUUCUCUUAGAUAGGCUUAUAAGCAUAGGUGGCCCAUUCAACCAAGAUCUCUCUGCUGAGGAGAUUACCAGUAAGAUCAACACAACAUAGCCCAUGCCUUAAAGGGAAAGUAGCAGAUUAAAAAAAAAAAAAACCCGCAGACAAGAGAGGAUCACCAAAACCAGGGCUAACAGAUGGAAACCUUUAAAAUAGAUGUGAACAUACAAAUUUAUUCCACUUACUUUACCUUUGAAAGACCAACUCCAACUGCAAGAUUAUAAAAUCACUCAGAAAGCAAUUCAAAAGUCUGAUUUAUUUAUUGUAAUAACAAUAAAACAUGAUCUUAGACAGGUUUAUACCUAUAGGUAGCCCUUUCUUCAACUCAUUUACCUCUGACAGACCGUCUCUAAUUGCAUGAUUGUACAAAAAGGAAACAGAGAGACAAGAAAAGAGGAGCCCCAAAACCAUGACUGACAGAUGGAAACCUUUAUGUUUGCCAGCCAUCUUGCAUCAUCAGCAUGAAAAUGGGGUUCCUUGGACAGCCAGGCCUUCCCAGGAAAUCUGAAGAGGGGUCUGCUCUUGAGUCCCACACGGGGUACCAACUUUGUUACUAAAAGCUUGGUCCUUGUCCCUGAUGGCAAUCCAAUAAUGAGGACACAGUUUUGAGAUAAAGGAAAAAGAAGUUCUAUUAAUUUGGUAUCAAAAAAGAAAUACAGAGGACUCCUGUCCCAAAGGCUAUGAUUCUUAACAACCUUUAAUUUUAUUUUUUUUAAAAAAAGGAAAACCACAACACUACCAAUUAAAGGUGGAUGAUACUCUAACAUUGUUUGAAGAUGCAGGCUUCCAUUGACUAUGUAAAAUGUGUUUCUUGUUGAAAAUAAUAAACAAGUGAAGCCCCUUUUGGUUGACAUUUUUAUUUGAUCACAUAUCUGUGAGCAAGAAGCUUCUGUCCAAAUUUUAAAAGUGUAGAUUUAUAGUAUGCAAUAACUGAGAAUAAAUAUUAAAAAAUUUAAAAAAUUACUUCUUCAUAUUUUCUUUAGUCAAAAAUAUAAAUACAGGUUAUUUCAUCUCUCCCCCACACUGCAAAGUGUACAGUUGAGAAACUAAUAAGUCAGAGCAUCAACAAACACAUUUCCCCUAUAAAUAAUAAA
rnacentral:lncRNA from 1 species